GUUCACAACAUGCACAGAUCUAAGACAUAUCUGAAAGAAAAUCAGAAAGCCUUUGAAGUUAGGGUUUCAGAGAACCUAGAAAGAUGAGAAAGAAUUCGAAAAGUUAUCGAUCUAGCUGGAAAAGUCAAGCAUCUGACUCGAACAGCCAUGGAUAGGAGUUGAGAAAGGACUGGAUCAGAUAUCUUCGAGAUCUAUCCAUGAAAUCGCACAAGUGGGCCACCAUGGGACAUAGGAGACCAAUACACAUCUCAAACGACCUUGGCAAUCCAUGGAUUUGGUGGGGGUUGAGGGGAACUAGGGUGGAUUUGGGUGGUGGCAACUAGAGUUUGAGUGAAAUUACAGAGAGAAUUGGAGAGGAAGGGGAUUCAAG
rnacentral:lncRNA from 1 species